GUCGGCCGGUCCGCCUUUGGU
rnacentral:siRNA from 1 species